GGGGGAAUAUUGCACAAUGGGCGAAAGCCUGAUCCAGCAAUGCCGCGUGCAGGAUGAAGGCCUUCGGGUUGUAAACUGCUUUUGUACGGAACGAAAAAGCUCCUUCUAAUACAGGGGGCCCAUGACGGUACCGUAAGAAUAAGCACCGGCUAACUACGUGCCAGCAGCCGCGGUAAUACGUAGGGUGCGAGCGUUAAUCGGAAUUACUGGGCGUAAAGCGUGCGCAGGCGGUUAUGUAAGACAGAUGUGAAAUCCCCGGGCUCAACCUGGGAACUGCAUUUGUGACUGCAUGGCUAGAGUACGGUAGAGGGGGAUGGAAUUCCGCGUGUAGCAGUGAAAUGCGUAGAUAUGCGGAGGAACACCGAUGGCGAAGGCAAUCCCUGGACCUGUACUGACGCUCAUGCACGAAAGCGUGGGGAGCAAACA
rnacentral:rRNA from 1 species